rnacentral:ncRNA from 12 species
CCUAUUGAGUGUCAUAUCAAAUGAUAGUAGAAGUGAGUUUUCUCACUUUGAGGUCAGACACGAUGAUGUAGGAA